GGAUUAGUGGCGAACGGGUGAGUAACACGUGAGUAACCUGCCCUUGACUUCGGGAUAACUUCAGGAAACUGGGGCUAAUACCGGAUAGGAAUCCUUGCUGCAUGGUGGGGGUUGGAAAGCUUCGGCGGUUUUGGAUGGACUCGCGGCUUAUCAGCUUGUUGGUGGGGUAGUGGCUUACCAAGGCUUUGACGGGUAGCCGGCCUGAGAGGGCGACCGGCCACAUUGGGACUGAGAUACGGCCCAG
rnacentral:rRNA from 1 species